CGGAAUGAAAACCAGGAACCGACGCAGAAUGAGCAGAAAAAGAAGUUGCAAAAGGCCUUCCUGUCGAAUCAGGAA
rnacentral:snoRNA from 1 species